CAACUACCGCGUGUGGCGGUUCCGCCUAUGGAAAUGCCGCCUCAUGCUUAUCCGCCUCAACUAUUCAGCGACGAGAAUCCAAACUCAUGUUCCAUAAUGUAACAAAAAAAAAACUGCAAACGCUAAAGGGUUAAUAUGGAGAGUAUUUUGAACAAUUUUGAUGAAGUUGUAACUUGAUGUCUCUCUUUGCAUGUGGUUUUCCUUUACUAUGUUUUGUGCAGCUCUAUUUCUUGUGUAAUUUACAUUGAAAAGAACUCGCCAAUUACGAGUUAUUUCAAAUGCUAUAAGCGAUCAAAUAAAUAAAUUACGAUAGUUUAUAUCUAUUAAUUCAUUUUAAAUUUUUAAUUCAUAAUACAUAGACUAAUCGUUUAAAGUAAUGGUAAUAAAUAUGCUUUUAUUUCUGACAUGCACCAAAUUUGAUAUGAUCAUCCCACCCUUUACAAGUCACUGUAGGUGUUAACUACAACUGCAGUUUACAAAAAACUGCAAACGCUAAAAUGCUUCCUUGUUUACCAAGUUACUAUUUAAUCUUACAACUGCAGAGUUUGCUUUGCACCAACUGCACUAAAUGCAUAUGUUCUGUGUAAAUAGCUUUGUUCAUUUACCAAAAAUCAUCCAUCGCAUUAUUCAACCCCCAAAAGUAAACUACAG
rnacentral:lncRNA from 1 species